rnacentral:rRNA from 1 species
UUUUUGGCAAAACCUAUUUUUGCUUUCGUUACCAAAAACUAUUUUCGGGAGACAAGACUUAACUUCUGUAUUCGGAAUGGGAACAGGUGUAUCCCUUGUCCUAAAUCACCA